UACGGAGGGAGCUAGCGUUGUUCGGAAUUACUGGGCGUAAAGCGCGCGUAGGCGGCUUUGUAAGUUAGAGGUGAAAGCCCGGGGCUCAACCCCGGAAUUGCCUUUAAGACUGCAUCGCUUGAAUCCGGGAGAGGUGAGUGGAAUUCCGAGUGUAGAGGUGAAAUUCGUAGAUAUUCGGAAGAACACCAGUGGCGAAGGCAGUGUCCGUGGGGAGUGUCUGACGCUCAGGCGCGAAAGCUAGGGGAGCGAACAGG
rnacentral:rRNA from 1 species